rnacentral:lncRNA from 1 species
AUUUUACUCCCCAGACUGUGAAGAGACAGGGAGUAAAAGAGGCAGAGCAAAGCACGCGGGGGGGGGGGGGGGGGGAGAGAGGGGGGAAGAGAGAGAGAGAGAGAGAGGGAGAGAGAGAGAGAGAGACAGAGGCAGAGACACAGACACAGACACAGACAGAAAGCCUGAGAGAAGGUGGACGGACCCAGCAGCCGCAGCCCAGCUCCUCCCGGACCGGGCACCCUGCCGACGGCCCUGACUCCCCGGGCCACCCCAGUUUGGAGGACUCUAACCUUGAUUUUCCAGCUUUGAGCUCCCUCUGGAAGCGGAACAGACUGACUCCAUCAACGGCGAUUUCCAUGUUUAGACUCAUGUCUGUUUGAAGCAUUUAGGUUUCCCAAUCUGCAUUUCUC